rnacentral:lncRNA from 1 species
AUGAAGCCUUAGAAAAAGCGAAAGUAAUCUGUAGUGAUAGAAAGCAGAUCAAUGUUUGUCUGAAGCCAUAAUGUGUGUUGGUGAUUAACUAUGAAUGGUAGGAGGCAACUUUUUUUCACAUUUUGGAAAAAGUGUAUCUUCAUUUUGGUGAUAGUUUCAUGGCUUUAUAAUGUCCGUCAAAAUUCAUCAGACCAUACACUUAAAGUGGGUGGGUUUUAUUGAAUGUCAAUUAAACCUCCAUAGAUUUUGGUUAAAGAACAAAACAAAAGAUUGGAGAAUGGGAACAGAAGCAAACCAGAAGAUGGGAAAAUGGAGAAUGAAAACAACAGAAAGAGACUUCGGUGGAGGAAUGGAUGCCAGAACAAAACCUCAUGUGCUUGAAGAGCCGAAGACUUGGAGACAUUGAUUUGCACUGAUUAAAUGUGUCAUGAGAUGGAUUUGAUUGACUUGAAUAUUUCCGACACCUCCCACUUUUCCAGCCUCUUAAGUCUGAGAUUUGUUGAAUGCUUUGUUACUUUCAUGGGUCCACUAAGGUCACAGUGCCCAGGGUAAAGUUUUACUAAAGGAGGAAAGAGAUGCUUUUAGGAAAUUUCAAGCUAACCCUCAAUGUUGAUGGUGCCUCCUUGUCUGACAACUUCCUUUUGAGGUUUCAUUUCCAUUAGCAGAGGCUUGCAACUCACAGGGGUGACUUCAGCACUGUGUCACACCUUCUUACUCAGUCAUACACAGUCUAUAACGGUAAAGAGAGAGAGAGAGAGAGAGAGAGAGAGAGAGAGUUCAGGCCAACUCACGAUAAGUUGAAUUUAAUAAAUUCCUCUAUUCAUGAUUUAAUGGCCCUUUUGUUUUUCCUGUUUCACCUUCUUUCUUGAUCCUUUUUAUAACCACAAUGAGGCCACUGCAUCACUGGUACCUGUUUUUUUUCUGUUUUAGCAGUUAAUUUUUUUGGAAAUAAUUUUAGUUUUAAAGAACUGCAAAACCAGCAGUUCCCAUACACCUGUUCACCCUUCUAUCAACAUCUUCCCUAACCAUGGUGUACUUAUCAAAACAAAGAAAUUAACAUUGUUACAAUACUAUUCAGCAAAGUUAAUAAAAUAAAAUAAAACAAUUUACACAUUUC